GACGAACGCUGGCGGCGUGCUUAACACAUGCAAGUCGAACGGAAUGUCCCUGCUUUUUUUGUUUGCUGGAGGGGCGAACGGUUAAGUGACGCGUGAGUAACCAGCCCUUGACUUUGGGAUAACUUCAGGAAACUGGUGCUAGUACCUGAUAGAAGCUGCUACUGCAUGGGGGUGGUUGUAACGUUGAGGCGGGGGGGGAUGGACUCGCGUCUUAUCAGCUUGUUGGGGGGGUAGUUGCUUACACAGGCUUUGACGGGUAGACGGCCUGAGAGGGUGACCGGCCAAACUGGGAAUGAGAUACGGCCAAGACACACACGGGAGGCAGCAGUGGGGAGAAUUGUACAAUGGGCGGAAGCCUGAUGCAGAAACGCGGCGCGCGGGAUAACGGCCUUCGGGUUGUAAAAAGCUUUCGCAUGUGACGAAGAGUGAGUGAAGGUAAUGGGAAAAAAAGCACCGGCUAAAUACGUG
rnacentral:rRNA from 1 species